GACGAACCGUACGAACGUUAUUCGGAAUCACUGGGCUUAAAGGGUGCGUAGGCUGCGCGGAAAGUUGGGUGUGAAAUCCCUCGGCUCAACCGAGGAACUGCGCCCAAAACUGCCGUGCUCGAGGGAGACAGAGGUGAGCGGAACUUAGGGUGGAGCGGUGAAAUGCGUUGAUAUCCGUAAGGAACACCGGUGGCGAAAGCGGCUCACUGGGUCUCUUCUGACGCUGAGGCACGAAAGCUAAGGGUAGCGAACGGGG
rnacentral:rRNA from 1 species